UACCCGCAGCACAAGUGGUGGUCAUUAUUAUUGGGCCUAAAGCGUCCGUAGCUGGCUUGUUAGAUGCCUGGGUAAAUCGAUGCGCUCAACGUAUCGAAUUCCGGGUAGACCGGCAAGCUCGAGACCGGGAGAGGUGUAGGCUACUCGAGGGGUAGGGGUAAAAUCCUGUAAUCCUUCGGGGAGGACCAGUGGCGAAGGCGCUACACUAGAACGGCUCUGACAGUGAGGGACCGAAGCCCUGGGGCGCAAACCGG
rnacentral:rRNA from 1 species